rnacentral:rRNA from 1 species
GACGUAGGGUGCGAGCGUUGUCCGGAUUUACUGGGCGUAAAGAGCGCGUAGGCGGCUCGUUAAGUGUAGGGUUAAAUCCCCAGGCUCAACCUGGGAGCUGCCCUGCAUACUGGCGAGCUGGAGGGACCGAGAGGUGAGUGGAAUUCCCGGUGUAGCGGUGAAAUGCGUUGAUAUCGGGAGGAACACCCAUGGCGAAGGCAGCUCACUGGCGGUCGCCUGACGCUGAGGCGCGAAAGCGUGGGUAGCAAACAGG